rnacentral:rRNA from 1 species
GACGGGAGGAUGCAAGUGUUAUCCGGAAUCACUGGGCGUAAAGCGUCUGUAGGUGGUCAAAUAAGUCAACUGUUAAAUCUUGAGGCUCAACCUCAAAAUCGCAGUCGAAACUAUUAGACUAGAGUAUAGUAGGGGUAAAGGGAAUUUCCAGUGGAGCGGUGAAAUGCGUAGAGAUUGGAAAGAACACCGAUGGCGAAGGCACUUUACUGGGCUAUUACUAACACUCAGAGACGAAAGCUAGGGUAGCAAAUGGG